rnacentral:rRNA from 1 species
ACCGGCAGCUCAAGUGGUGGCCAUUUUUAUUGGGCCUAAAGCGUUCGUAGCCGGUUUGAUAAGUCUCUGGUGAAAUCCCACGGCUUAACUGUGGGAAUUGCUGGAGAUACUAUUAGACUUGAGGCCGGGAGAGGUUAGCGGUACUCCCAGGGUAGGGGUGAAAUCCUAUAAUCGUGGGAGGACCACCUGUGGCGAAGGCGGCUAACUGGAACGAACCUGACGGUUAGUAACGAAAGCCAGGGGCUCGAACCU